AUCCGGAGAGAACAAGGUGGAGUAAGAGGGUGGAUAGAACAAGGUGGAGGAAGAGGCCAAUGAAGAGGAAGACCUGGAGGAGGGCUUCCAGCCUCACCACCCAGCCUUCGCCUCCACCUUUGAACACCAUCAGUACACUCCUCUCCACCUGUUCACCUCGUGUCCAGUAACCACUCGGACUUUUCGCCGUCAGCUCUCCUCCAGCUUCGGACCUGCCAGGAGUUUCCCAGCCCUGACCCUGCCUACAAAGUACUCUCUGAGUACCCUGUUUCUCCAUUAAAACCUUUUGAACCUA